UUACCCGCGACAGGACAAAAAGACCCCGUGCACCUUUACUAUAACCUGCCAUUGGGCUUCGGCACUGCAUGUGUAGCAUAGGUGGGAGACUAUGAACCAGGGCCGCUAGGUUCUGGGGAGUCAACGGUGAAAUACCACCCUUGUGAUGUUGGAGCUCUAACCCAGGAGAGUGAAUCCUCUCCGGGGACCGUGGCAGGCGGGUAGUUUGACUGGGGCGGUCGCCUCCCAAAGCGUAACGGAGGCGCGCAAAGGUUCCCUCAGUGCGGUCGGUAAUCGCACGAAGAGCGUAAAGGCAAAAGGGAGCUUGACUGCGAGAUCGACGGAUCGAGCAGGUACGAAAGUAGGCCUUAGUGAUCCGGCGGUUCCGAAUGGAAGGGCCGUCGCUCAACGGAUAAAAGGUACGCCGGGGAUAACAGGCUUAUCGCCCCCGAGAGUUCACAUCGACGGGGCGGUUUGGCACCUCGAUGUCGGCUUAUCACAUCCUGGGGCUGGAGAAGGUCCCAAGGGUCGGGCUGUUCGCCGGUUAAAGUGGUACAUGAGCUGGGUUCAGAACGUCGUGAGACAGUUCGGUCUGUAUCCGUCGUGGGCGCAGGAGUGUUGAGGGGUCCCGACCUUAGUACGAGAGGACCGGGUCGGACGGACCGCUCGUGUGCCGGCUGUCACGCCAGUGGCAACGCCGGGUAGCGAUGUCCGGACGGGAUAACCGCUGAACGCAUCUAAGUGGGAAGCCUUUCCCGAGAUGAACACUCCCGGAGCGCAAGCUCCCUGAAGGGCCCUCGGAGACUACGAGGUAAUAGGCGGCAGGUGUACAGGCCCGCAAGGGUGUCAGCCGAGCCGUACUAAUCGCCCGUGAGGCUUGAUCUC
rnacentral:ncRNA from 1 species